rnacentral:rRNA from 1 species
GCUGGCGGCAGGCCUCAAACAUGCAAGUCUAGGGGGUGUAGCAAUACACCACCGGCGGACGGGUGCGUAACACGUGGGAAUAUACCUUUCGGUACGGAACAACUGAGGGAAACUUCAGCUAAUACCGUAUACGUCCUAACGGAGAAAGAUUUAUCGCCGAAGGAUUAGCCCGCGCUCGAUUAGCUAGUUGGUGAGGUAAUGGCUCACCAAGGCUACGAUCGAUAGCUGUUCUGAGAGGAAGAUCAGCCACACUGGGACUGAGACACGGCCCAGACUCCUACGGGAGGCGGCAGUUGGGAAUCUUGGACAAUGGGGGAAACCCUGAUCCAGCCAUGCCGCGUGAGUGAUGAAGGCCUUCGGGUUGUAAAGCUCUUUUACCCGGGAAGAUAAUGACUGUACCGGGAGAAUAAGCUCCGGCUAACUUCGUGCCAUCAGCCCGCGGUAAUACGAAGGGGGCUACCGUUGUUC